rnacentral:rRNA from 1 species
GGACCUGACUGCUAUCGGAUUGAUACUAAGCCAUGCGAGUCAUUGUAGCAAUACAAGGCAUACGGCUCAGUAACGCGUAGUCAACCUAACCUAUGGACGGGAAUAACCUCGGGAAACUGAGAAUAAUGCCCGAUAGAACAUUAUGCCUGGAAUGGUUUAUGUUCCAAAUGAUUUAUCGCCGUAAGAUGGGACUGCGGCCUAUCAGUUUGUUGGUGAGGUAAUGGCCCACCAAGACUAUUACAGGUACGGGCUCUGAGAGGAGUAGCCCGGAGAUGGGUACUGAGACACGGACCCAGGCCCUAUGGGGCGCAGCAGGCGAGAAAACUUUGCAAUGUGCGAAAGCACGACAAGGUUAAUCCGAGUGGUUUCUGCUAAAGAAACCUUUUGUCAGUCCUAGAAACACUGAUGAAUAAGGGGUGGGCAAGUUCUGGUGUCAGCC